rnacentral:rRNA from 1 species
GAUGAACGCUAGCUACAGGCUUAACACAUGCCAGUCGAGGGGCAGCAUGGUCUUAGCUUGCUAAGGCCGAUGGCGACCGGCGCACGGGUGAGUAACACGUAUCCAACCUGCCGUCUACUCUUGGACAGCCUUCUGAAAGGAAGAUUAAUACAAGAUGGCAUCAUGAGUUCACAUGUUCACAUGAUUAAAGGUAUUCCGGUAGACGAUGGGGAUGCGUUCCAUUAGAUAGUAGGCGGGGUAACGGCCCACCUAGUCUUCGAUGGAUAGGGGUUCUGAGAGGAAGGUCCCCCACAUUGGAACUGAGACACGGUCCAAACUCCUACGGGAGGCAGCAGUGAGGAAUAUUGGUCAAUGGGCGAGAGCCUGAACCAGCCAAGUAGCGUGAAGGAUGACUGCCCUAUGGGUUGUAAACUUCUUUUAUAAAGGAAUAAAGUCGGGUAUGUAUACCCGUUUGCAUGUACUUUAUGAAUAAGGACCGGCUAACUCCGUG